rnacentral:rRNA from 1 species
UACGUAGGGUGCGAGCGUUAAUCGGAAUCAUUGGGCGUAAAGGGCGUGUAGGUGGUUCUGUAUGUCUACCGUGAAAGCGUACGGCUCAACCGUAUUUAGUCGGUAGAAACUGCAGGACUUGAGGCUGGGAGGGGCUGGUGGAAUUCCCCGUGUAGCGGUGAAAUGCGUAGAGAUGGGGGAGAACACUCGUGGCGAAGGCGGCCAGCUAGACCAGUUCUGACACUGAGGCGCGACAGCGUGGGGAGCAAACAGG